rnacentral:rRNA from 1 species
GACGAACGCUGGCGGCGUGCCUAAUACAUGCAAGUAGAACGCUGAAGGGAGGAGCUUGCUCUUCUUGGAUGAGUUGCGAACGGGUGAGUAACGCGUAGGUAACCUGCCUUGUAGCGGGGGAUAACUAUUGGAAACGAUAGCUAAUACCGCAUAACAAUGGAUGACCCAUGUCAUUUAUUUGAAAGGGGCAAAUGCUCCACUACAAGAUGGACCUGCGUUGUAUUAGCUAGUAGGUGAGGUAACGGCUCACCUAGGCGACGAUACAUAGCCGACCUGAGAGGGUGAUCGGCCACACUGGGACUGAGACACGGCCCAGACUCCUACGGGAGGCAGCAGUAGGGAAUCUUCGGCAAUGGGGGCAACCCUGACCGAGCAACGCCGCGUGAGUGAAGAAGGUUUUCGGAUCGUAAAGCUCUGUUGUAAGUCAAGAACGAUGUGUGAGAGUGGAAAGUUCACUCUGGACGUAGCU